rnacentral:lncRNA from 1 species
AAAUUGGCAGUUUAUGAAAAUUUGCUUCAUUUUGUUUUCUAACCUGCUAUUCUUUUUGCAUUUGGCUCAGUACUGAAGGUAUACUAAGUCUUUAGAAAGUCUUUCAGAAGUUCUCCUUAAUUUGAGAAGCAUUUUCUUGAUCAAGCAAGCAGAAUCAAUAUAUUAGAUGCUUCUAAGAUCCUGGAAUGUAGCUUUAAGAAAUUACAACAGUUACAAAUUGUGAGCCAAAUCCCUGCCUUACACAAAGUGUACCAGUGAUAAAUGAAGGUCUUACUGACCUAAUAAAAUGCUACAGAUUGAUAUUCCUUUUGUUGAGCAGCCUGUAAUUUCAUUAAUUUUAUUGACAGUAAUUAUAACAAGUUAAAUUUAUGGUAGCCAUAAAGAAAAGUUAGUCAACCACAUGAAAAUGUCAGCAUGCUCACUUUGGUAUGAGCAGGCUGAAGGUUUUGGGGUGUGUGUGUGGUGGCUGCUGGUCUGUUGUCUUCUUCCUGCAUUCAGCUUUGAUGGCAAUUUUUAAGGGCUAGGAAAUUGUGCUUUUGGUGUGCCCAUUGCAGUUCUCUCUGUAAAACUGAAAGGAGGUUCUUGUAGCCUUGUGAUUUCAGGCCCAUGUUUUCAUUUUUUUCUUAAUAGUAUUAAGGGAUUAGCUGAUAGAAUUAUGUGAAACAUCAAGCUAUCUGUCCAGCUGGAUGUCGACGCUGAGAAUAUAAGAAAUGAGCAUUGAGGGAGGAUUUUCACUUCUUCUUUCUGCGUGUAUUAAAUCCUACCUUCCAGGCUGGUAGUGAUUGUGAAACCUUAGCUGAAAUUGCCAUUCCCUGUGUCCUUUUUCCAAAUGGAGACUGUGCCCAGAAAUCCCUGGCCAGCAGCACCAGAGCAGGUGCAGACUUCUUGGGAAACGUAGUCUCCCCACAAGCCCUUAUUCAGAAUUCACCUAUUCCCAGAGCAGCAGCAUGUUCUAUUGCUCUGUUCCAGGAACCUGUCACAAGAAGCCAAAAAUGACCAUGUGCUGUGCAGAACUAGCUUCUGUUGCACCUGCUUAAAGAGGUAGAACGUAUCAGGAAGAAAAAUGGAGAAGAGAACUGACAAGAUCAUGUUAGGACCAGAGAGCCUGCAUGGCUGCACUGCGGGCGGCCACCGAUCUAGUCUCUGCCUUCACAAUGCAGAUCGAAGUGUGAUAAAGUGUGUAGGUCACGGUCAUGAGUAGCUGAGUGC